UGGGGAAUUUUCCGCAAUGGGCGAAAGCCUGACGGAGCAACGCCGCGUGGAUGAAGAAGUCCUUCGGGAUGUAAAGUCCUUUCAGCAGGGACGAGUCGAAGACGGUACCUGCAGAAGAAGCAUCGGCUAACUACGUGCCAGCAGCCGCGGUAAUACGUAGGAUGCAAGCGUUGUCCGGAAUUAUUGGGCGUAAAGCGUACGUAGGCGGUUUGUUAAGUCAGGGGUUAAAGACUGAGGCUCAACCUCAGGGGUGCCUUUGAUACUGGCAGGCUGGAGGACGGCAGAGGAAAGUGGAAUUCCCAGUGUAGCGGUGAAAUGCGUAGAUAUUGGGAGGAACACCAGUGGCGAAAGCGACUUUCUGGGCCGUUCCUGACGCUGAGGUACGAAAGCGUGGGGAGCAAACAGG
rnacentral:rRNA from 1 species